rnacentral:rRNA from 1 species
CCCAGACUCCUACGGGAGGCAGCAGUGGGGAAUAUUGGACAAUGGGGGGAACCCUGAUCCAGCGACGCCGCGUGAGUGAAGAAGUAUUUCGGUAUGUAAAGCUCUAUCAGCAGGGAAGAAAGAAAUGACGGUACCUGACUAAGAAGCCCCGGCUAACUACGUGCCAGCAGCCGCGGUAAUACGUAGGGGGCAAGCGUUAUCCGGAUUUACUGGGUGUAAAGGGAGCGUAGACGGCGAUGCAAGUCUGAAGUGAAAGGCGGGGGCCCAACCCCCGGACUGCUUUGGAAACUGUAUGGCUGAAGUGCAGGAGAGGUAAGUGGAAUUCCUAGUGUAGCGGUGAAAUGCGUAGAUAUUAGGAGGAACACCAGUGGCGAAGGCGGCUUACUGGACUGUAACUGACGUUGAGGCUCGAAAGCGUGGGGAGCAAACAGGAUUAGAUACCCGUACC